rnacentral:rRNA from 1 species
AUCUUCUUUGAAGGUAUGCUUAAGGAGGGGCUUGCGACACAUUAGUUAGUUGGCAGGGUAAAGGCCUACCAAGACUAUGAUGUGUAGCUGGACUGAGAGGUUGAACAGCCACAUUGGGACUGAGACACGGCCCAAACUCCUACGGGAGGCAGCAGUAGGGAAUUUUCGGCAAUGGAGGAAACUCUGACCGAGCAACGCCGCGUGAACGAUGAAGUACCUCGGUAUGUAAAGUUCUUUUAUUAAGGAAGAAAAAAGAGUGGAAAAACUCCCUUGACGGUACUUAAUGAAUAAGCCCCGGCUAAUUAUGUGCCAGCAGCCGCGGUAAUACAUAAGGGGCGAGCGUUAUCCGGAAUUAUUGGGCGUAAAGGGUGCGUAGGCGGUUUAAUAAGUCUAUAGUUUAAUUUCAGUGCUUAACGCUGUUGUGCUAUAGAAACUGUUUUACUAGAGUGAGAUAGAGGCAAGCGGAAUUCCAUGUGUAGCGGUAAAAUGCGUAAAUAUAUGGAGGAACACCAGAGGCGUAGGCGGCUUGCUGGGUCUUUACUGACGCUGAGGCACGAAAGCGUGGGGAGCAAACAGGAUUAGAUACCCUGGUAGUCCACGCCGUAAACGAUGAGUACUAAGUGUCGGGUAAAACUGGUACUGAAGUUAACACAUUAAGUACUCCGCCUGAGUAGUACGUACGCAAGUAUG